rnacentral:rRNA from 1 species
GUGGGGAAUAUUGCGCAAUGGGGGAAACCCUGACGCAGCGACGCCGCGUGAGCGAAGAAGGCCUUAGGGUUGUAAAGCUCUGUUUUAAGGGACGAAUGUCGUGGGGAGUAAUAUGCUCUGCGAAUGACGGUACCUUAAGAGGAAGCCCCGGCUAACUACGUGCCAGCAGCCGCGGUAAGACGUAGGGGGCGAGCGUUGUCCGGAAUUACUGGGCGUAAAGAGCACGUAGGCGGGAACUUAAGUCAGGUGUGAAAGACCGGGGCUCAACUCCGGGGUUGCACUUGAAACUGGGUUUCUUGAGGGCAGGAGAGGAAAGCAGAAUUCCUGGUGUAGCGGUGAAAUGCGUAGAAAUCAGGAGGAAUACCAGUGGCGAAGGCGGCUUUCUGGACUGACCCUGACGCUGAGGUGCGAAAGCGUGGGUAGCAAACAGGAUUAGAUACCCCGGUAGUCC